AUCCAACUGAUGAGUCCCGAAUAGGACGAAACACGCGUCCUGGAU
rfam:Schistosoma mansoni, Puerto Rico, WGS project CABG01000000 data, contig: 0071